UACGUAGGGUGCAAGCGUUAAUCGGAAUUACUGGGCGUAAAGCGUGCGCAGGCGGUUUGUCGCGUCUGCUGUGAAACUGGGGCUCAACCCCAGCCUGCAGUGGGUACGGGCAGACUAGAGUGCGGUAGGGAGAUUGGAAUUCCUGGUGUAGCGGUGGAAUGCGCAGAUAUCAGGAGGAACACCGAUGGCGAAGGCAGAUCUCUGGGCCGUAACUGACGCUGAGGAGCGAAAGCAGUGGGGAGCGAACAGG
rnacentral:rRNA from 1 species